UACGAGGACGACGCUGGCGGCGUGCUUAACACAUGCAAGUCGAACGGUAAGGCCCUUCGGGGUACACGAGUGGCGAACGGGUGAGUAACACGUGGGUGAUCUGCCCUGCACUUCGGGAUAAGCUUGGGAAACUGGGUCUAAUACCGGAUAGGACCACGGUCUGCAUGGAUUGUGGUGGAAAGCUUUUGCGGUGUGGGAUGGGCCCGCGGCCUAUCAGCUUGUUGGUGGGGUGAUGGCCUACCAAGGCGACGACGGGUAGCCGGCCUGAGAGGGUGUCCGGCCACACUGGGACUGAGAUACGGCCCAGACUCCUACGGGAGGCAGCAGUGGGGAAUAUUGCACAAUGGGCGCAAGCCUGAUGCAGCGACGCCGCGUGGGGGAUGACGGCCUUCGGGUUGUAAACCUCUUUCAGCAGGGACGAAGGGUGACUGACGGUACCUGUAGAAGAAGCACCGGCCAACUACGUG
rnacentral:rRNA from 1 species